UCCUGCAUAGCUCAGCUGGUUAGAGGGUGGAGCUGAUAACGCCAAGGCUGCAGGUUCGAUCCCCUGUAGAGGAC